CCGCACUUGGGCUAAAGCCUUAAUUCUAAAACAGCAUCUCUAGUGAAAACUGCAGAGUCCACAAUGAUUCUAACCUCUUUCUUUAGGCACAUUAUUAUGGAUUGACUGCAUAUAUUUUUUACUUUAGGCACUUUGCACAGUCACAUGAGAAAUGCUUUGUUAAAUGGCAGGUGAGCGUUAGCCUGGAAGCCUUGGGUAUCUUAUAUUUACAUGCUGCUUUACAGCUUCUGCAGCAACUUCGUCUUUUCUCAUUGGACCUUGAGAACAAUGCAGAGAUUGCAUUGUCCCCCAUGUCAGAGCCAGGAGAUCAGGGGUGCAGACGUGUGAAGUGACCCAUCCUAGAUCCCACCGCUGUUCGCAUUCUCAAGUUUGAGCUUAGAUCCUCUGCUUCCAAGGUUGGUGGAGUUUUCUCACUGGCUUCACGUACUGGUGUUGGUGGAUAAUAGGUAAGACUUAGUUCUGACUGUGUAGAUUGGGGCUGCCAACCCCUGUGAGUACAGGGAGUGUCAGGUCACAAGGAGGGGAACUUAAUGGGCAUGUGAUCCUGAGGGGUCAAAGUCUCACCAUCUUCAGCUAGUCGUCAUCCUGCUGCUGCAGCUGGAGAUGGGUGGAGGCUGUCUGGGAUUUGAUGACCAACUCCAACUGGUUAGCUGCGUGCAAUAACUGGGGACCCUGAUACUAAAGAUAGUGACUUUAAUUAUGACCGUCUCAUGUUUUUAGAGAACUGGGUGUUGUUUUGUUUGGUUGUGGUUUGGCCACAUAUUAGAAGUCAGUUAAUGAAAUUAUUAUUUUUCUAAUUUAGGCUGAUUUAUUUAACCGGCUGGUGCUAUCCAGUUAGUCCUGUAAUUAAAAAUUCAUUUCUCAAAGAUGUUACUAAAAUCUUAGAAAUAUUAAAGCUUUAACCCUAAAGAUGGGUAUGGAAGUGAUUAAAUUUUCCCUAUUAUUUUUUUCUCUCUCUGCCAGCGUGAUUAAUUUCACUUUCUGUGUCUUACUCCAUGAGCCCUAAUGCUUCUGCUGAGAUUCCUAAUUCAGUGAAACCUGUUUAGGGGAUCAUCUCUGUUAGGCAGACAGCUGCUGAAAAGGCAUUCACUUUCCAAGCAUGGAUUUUAGAUUAUGGCCAAUCAAGACUCCGGCCUGGAAGAACACCUGUCAGAGACGUUUUUCUACAAGGAGAUGGUCUCUUUAAUCAUAUUUCAUUGUACUUCAGAAAAAGGUUCGUUUUAAAAUGUGAGUAAAAUUGCAUCUGCUUUUAUAAUUCAUCCUUUUCAGCUGAAACACCAAUUUAGAGCUUAUUUAUGACAUUGUUCUAUAGUGAAACGAGAAACUGCCACAAAGUGUUUAAAAAGGAAGGGCUUUCCCAGACAUCCGAUUUGUAAUUUUCUCUUGUGAAAAAAAUAUAAAAAAAAUUUUUUUUAACUUUUCUGUGUGAAUAUAAUUAGCGAUAGUAAUUCCUGUGAGCAAACUUUCAAAACAUUUAAGCUAAAUCGUGAAAACAUGUAAUGAAACCUGGGAAACUUUCCUAUGUUGAAAUAUGUUGCAUUUAUCUGUGAACAAUGCAAAGUAUUAUUGAUACUGAUUGGUGUUUAGAGAAACUACACUCGACUUUCAACUCGGCUGUAAUUACAGGCACCGUGACGUACAUAAAAUGCAGGUACUUACUCACAUCUGCAGACUCUAUUGAGUGUAACUAUUAGAAGACAAACUUCAUUUUGCAAACUGUAAUUUAAUGGUAUAACAGUGUGCAGACCAGAAUAUCAGUUAAUUUUCAAAACAUUUUAUUCUACACCAAUUAGCUCAGGUCCUGGAGGGCAAAAUGACAAGAGGUUACUCGUUCACUAUGUAUUUAAUUAAUUGAAAAAUGCUCAAAUUGCUUUUACAGUUGUUAUUAAAAAGUAGAAUCAGUGUUGCCAGUGCUCAACCAUAAUUGGAACCCCAGGGAAUUAAAUAUUUAGCAUUAGUAAUGUAACAGCACUUAGGACACAAAUUUCUAUUUUCGUAAUGAAAGCUAUACACUGUGAGUGCAAGCGGCUGAAACGACAGCUGUGACAAGUGAAAUGGCCUGGGAUAUUUCAAUAAGACACCUCAUUGGACAGCAAGUCUUACCACAUUACUAGUUUGUAAGAGAUCUGCAAGUUUAAUUCCCAAUAGAAACCCGUUACCCAAGUAUUUAGAUUUCUAAUUGCAUGCAGGAUGAACAAUUGGGCAAAUGUCUUGCCAUAAGUGGCUGAAAUGUAUAGUGCUUGCUAAAUAAUCCUAUAUAAGUUCAUGCCUUUGUCAAUUUAAAAAUAGCGGGACUGUCAGGGAAUAAAGAUCUUGUUUGUUUUAAGUUUAAUUACAUUUUAAGCAUAAAUGCUCUCAGUGCUACAGUGAGAAAAGUUGGAUAUUGGGCUCUAAUGAGCUGCAGGGGUAGACGGCUAGAGACCCUAAGGGAUUCACUCCAUAAAUUAACUGGAUAAAAGUACUUGGUUAGGAUAUAGUUGAUGGCUGAGCUGUUCUUAAAACCCAGCUAUAGAGCUGUCUCUCACUCCUGUUUUCAUUCUAAACAGGCCCUGUAGAGACUUAAGUAGCCUCCUGUUACAACUGUUCAACUUGUCAAAAUGUAUUAUAUUACUCCACUAAUAAAUAGUAUUAAAGGGUAUUUGACUUCAUUUCUCGUUUUCAGAGGGGAUCAGGUUGAUAAACACAACUGGCAUACAUUGGCCUUAUUUUAAUUUGUUUAUGUCACCUAAGUAAUAUUGAAGGUACACGGUUUGAAUUUGUAAACAUUACUUUCCUGGAGAUGUAAAACUUACAAAAUAUUAUGUACAAUGGAAGCAAUUAAUGAAGGCUAUUAGAGAAUUUUUAUCCUUGAAAGAUAUAUGAAUUUGACAUUUUUAGCUCUCAUUCAAAGUAUUAGAAAACCCCAUAGCUAAACUAACAUUCUUUGAAGCAUGACUAGACUAAUUAUUUUGCCAAUCAUUUUAUUUUUUUUUUUGGGAAAAAAAGUUACAGGAUACAUUGAUUUCAUAAUUUUCUUUUGCUUACCAUUGUCCCCGUAUCAGUUUUUGAGAAUUUAUUUAUCAUUUCUUUUCUAUUUUAUUUUUUGUAUUUU
rnacentral:lncRNA from 1 species